rnacentral:rRNA from 1 species
GCAGCCGCCACGGUAAUACAGAGGGUGCGAGCGUUAAUCGGAUUUACUGGGCGUAAAGCGUGCGUAGGCGGCUUCUUAAGUCGGAUGUGAAAUCCCUGAGCUUAACUUAGGAAUUGCAUUCGAUACUGGGAAGCUAGAGUAUGGGAGAGGAUGGUAGAAUUCCAGGUGUAGCGGUGAAAUGCGUAGAGAUCUGGAGGAAUACCGAUGGCGAAGGCAGCCAUCUGGCCUAAUACUGACGCUGAGGUACGAAAGCAUGGGGAGCAAACAGGAUUAGAUACCCGUGUAGUCCCUGUCUCUUAUAA